rnacentral:rRNA from 1 species
UCUACGGGGGGCAGCAGUGGGGGAUAUUGCACAAUGGGGGAAACCCUGAUGCAGCGACACCGCGUGGGUGAAGAAGCGCUUCGGCGUGUAAAGCCCUAUCAGUGGGGAAGAAAAAGGACGGUACCCAAAGAAGAAGCACCGGCUAAAUACGUGCCAGCAGCCGCGGUAAUACGUAUGGAGCAAGCGUUAUCCGGAAUUACUGGGUGUAAAGGGAGCGUAGACGGAUGUGCAAGUCUGAUGUGAAAGGCGGGGGCUCAACCCCUGUACUGCAUUGGCAAUUGUCAAUCUUGAGUGCCGGAGAGGCA